CCGUCAGCAGAGUAGGGUGACUUCGAGGACAUCGCACGAGCGCCGAGUCGGGUGCGGCCGCUCCCAGUCUCCCACACGUACGCGACCUGCCGAGGAGGAGCCGCCGCACCGCCGGCGCCGUCCCGCCCACGCCCACGCCGAUCGGUCGCUGGGCGCUGGCCUUCGAACUCCGGCCUCCGGACUCCCUCGCGCGGAUAGGGACUACGCCUCCCUCCGGUCCGGUCCCUGACUCCCUGUCUCCCUCGACCCUCGCCGCUCACCCCACCGUCGCCCGUCGGCCUCCCUCGCCCUGCCCGACGCCGUCGGCGGUCGGCCGGCACUGGACAAGUGGACUGCGCCUCCAUGCACCCUACAACUCCCUCCCUGGUGAGUUGAUUUUUUUCUCCCAGAUGUAGAUUAGUAGAUGGCUAUGGCUUUCUGACUUUUUGGUUUAGGGAUUUGAUUUUCUUCUAGAUCUGUGAGACUGUGAGCCUAAGAAUUGAAUCAAUUUAUUAAAUUGUAUUGUCGCAAUUUGCUUAUUUUAUAGUCAUUUUACCGAAUUUUUUCUUUAAAUUUUAUCGUGUUGCGCAUGAAAAAAAAAAAUAGGACUACCCUGGUUUCAAUUUCUGGGUCCGCCACUGCACAAUGCAUGAACAAGCAACAAAUAAAUCCUUAAUUACUAGCUUUUUUUUUGAGACAACAGCCUCUUCAACGGGAUAUCUAAAUAUAGACAUCAUCUGUUCUAGAUUUGUCGCCAGCUAAUGAUGAAGAGCGAAAAUGACUAUCUAGACUCUGUACAAGAUAUAAAAAAGGUGUUGGAGAGUACAAAUAUAUACAAAUGAUUUUUUACUCAAAUGUUAAAUGAUGAUUUAGAGAGUAGAUUUUAUAAAGACUCUUCAAAAAUGCUCUAACUAUUGUCACAGUAGGUCUGUAAGAUACAUUAGGCUUAGCCUUUAUUUGGGGAGCUUAAAUUUAGGGUUUGUAGCAUUGCUGCCUGUCCCUGCGGCCAUGUGUCAUGCUUCCAUGUAAGGGGGUGUUUGGUUGUUAAAUUUUUGUUUUAUUUGACAAUUAUUGUCAAAUCAUGGACUAAUUAGACUUAAAAAUUCAUCUCAUAAAUUACUCUCUAGGCAUAUUUUUAGUUUUGUAAAUGAUCUAUAUUUAGUACUCCAUGUAUGCGUCUAAACAUUUAAUGUGAUGGAAAUUAAAAUUUAACUUUAGAAACCAAACAGGGCCUAAAACAAGAAGCAACAAAGAGAGAUGAGGUGCAAAUGCCUGCCGGCGUGACCUGCUACAACUCUAGUGUGGCAGCACUCGCUCACCCAUGAGCAACGCUAAUAAUAGUGCUGGUUAUAUUAUGUGGAAACUUACAAGUAACUUAUCAAUUAUUAGUUCACUCGUAUAAGAAUAUUUUUUUUUUGGUUUGAUGCAUAAGCUGGUUGUAAGUUUACAAUACGUUUCUCUUCUCUUUUUUCUUCAUCUGAAUAUACGUCCCGCUUACAACUCUUUGUUAUACUUGCUCUUAUGGGAGUUAUAAACACAUGGACAAGAGUGCUAUAUUUUUUUAACAAAGGAAUAGCUCCUUUAUUAUGAGGCCAGGCUUAGGGUAUAUCACAUUGUAACCCACUGGCUUUGCCACUGGUGGUGGGAUUUUGCAAGUGUCAAUUCAAACAUUGUUGCUAGAGGAAAGUUCUACUUUUAAUGAUGUUUGAUUUGGAGCUAGAGUGUCCUCUCCUUAGGAAAUAUUUUUUCUAUAGACAUGGGGUAACUUCGUUCCUAAAAAAAUAGCAGACAAGCUUGUCUCUUCUCUAUGGUACGAAUCUCCGCCGCUCAUCAACUUGUUAGCCUCGCCACGUCGAUCCGUUGGCCCUGUGGGCAUUCACCUAUCUAUUCACUCCGUCAACUAAGCCCGCUGUCUACUAUAUUCUAGGAAGAAAAUAAGGCGCAUGAAAAGAGAAUGGCAUGUGGGGUUAGCGAACGUGGGGCCACCAAUUCCUGAUGCUAUUAGUGUAAAAAACAUCAUUCCUAAAAAAAAGGAUAGAUUUAUUGUGUGUUUGUUUUGGGAACCAAGCGAAACAGGUGGGUUCAAUGCUAUUUUUAGUUGAAUUGAACACAUUUUAGGUUGGGCUAAAGGGAUGGAGUUGUCUUAGUUCUUUUUGUGGUUUUAAGGCAAAUGAAUGUGGACUCAGGACUCUAAUGUGUGAGCCCCAUGUGUCAUCUUAUGUCUCUUCCUUUCUUCCUCUAUAUUUGACGAUGCUAUGUCGCCCACUUUGCUUGCCAUCACCUCGGCACACGAUGCCGCCUAACCACACUGCUCUGCCCACAAGAGCUCUAUAACGUCCCAAGCUUUGCUUGCGAGAGCGCCACCGCACCUUCAAGCUCUAGCUGUGAGAGCUCUCCCCUCCCCCGAUGCCGCACCAUGCUUUGUCGCACCCUCAAGGUCCUCUCGCCAGAGCUCCUUCCCCAAGCAUCGUUAGAGCACCACCCCCAAAUGUCGUUGACCGUGUUCGCGAAGUGAAUUUGUCUGGUUUCUUCAAUUUGGAGGAAUAGAUGAAUAUACAGAUAAUAUUUCCUUUGUAGGAUGAAUAUAACCUAAUGCUCCUCAAACAAAUAUAAAAAAAUAGAUCCAACUCACCCUAAUUCACUUUACCCCUGAACCAAACACAACGCUUCUCUUGUCCAAAACACUAGGGUACAGUUUUUUUUAAAAAAAACACUAGGGCACGACCGUGCCACUCCAAACCAAGCGGACCAAACAAUUGCACUGUCUCGAGAGUGCAAUUUAUACCGUUCCUUACUAGUACUAAUUUUCAAUUUCCACCAGCAAUACAAGACUACAAGGGCAUAUAGGUUAGCUAAUUUCCUAAAAAAAAUAUAGGUUACCUAAUAGCAAAGCUAAACCUAGGCGCUAGAUAGCAAAUCGCUCACACGCAGAUGUGAUGCCUACGGCACGUACUCCAUAUGCUUGCUUUCAAGCAAGCACGUCUGUACUAUACAUGGACACAUACAUGGUUGCUUGCUUGGAAGCAACCGCUGUACCUGUCUCUAUGCAGCUAGCUGCUGCUGAGAGCUACUGCUGCUGCCGUCGUCUUCUGACAGGCAGCAGCUGUGCAGCCUUGGACCGGCAGCAGCAGGAGGAGGACCCUCCAGCUCCAGGUAUAGCAUCUCGGCCCGGAGGACCGCGCAGUAAUGCCCGAACGUCUCCGGCGACACGUUGAGGUCGAACCCGACGGCGAAGAGGAAGUCCACCUCCAGGUAGUUCAUCUCCGCCAGGCUGAUGCCGCCGACCCUGGCGAAGUAGGCGUUGUUGUAGCAUCUGCAAGGUAACGCGUUUGGUAGCCGUCAAUACAGUACAGGCUUGUUUCAGAAUUCAGAAAUCAGGCUAGUGCCUGCCAGCAAUGGGCUGCCCGUCGUCAGACAUGCACGCCAAACCAGAUGGGCCAAACAAACAGCUGCAUCACCAAACCAAUUCUUUUCAGAAUUAUCAAAUGGCGACU
rnacentral:lncRNA from 1 species